GCAUUCCGACCUAAGACCUCGGUUCUGAGCUGGGAUGUGGCUACUGAGCUGGGGUGUCUGGGGUCUUGGUUCAGGGUCG
rnacentral:pre_miRNA from 1 species